rnacentral:rRNA from 1 species
GUGGGGAAUAUUGGACAAUGGGCGCAAGCCUGAUCCAGCCAUACCGCGUGGGUGAAGAAGGCCUUCGGGUUGUAAAGCCCUUUUGUUGGGAAAGAAAUCCUGUCGGUUAAUACCUGGCGGGGAUGACGGUACCCAAAGAAUAAGCACCGGCUAACUUCGUGCCAGCAGCCGCGGUAAUACGAAGGGUGCAAGCGUUACUCGGAAUUACUGGGCGUAAAGCGUGCGUAGGUGGUGGUUUAAGUCCGUUGUGAAAGCCCUGGGCUCAACCUGGGAAUUGCAGUGGAUACUGGAUCACUAGAGUGUGGUAGAGGGAUGCGGAAUUUCUGGUGUAGCAGUGAAAUGCGUAGAGAUCAGAAGGAACAUCCGUGGCGAAGGCGGCAUCCUGGGCCAACACUGACACUGAGGCACGAAAGCGUGGGGAGCAAACAGGAUUAGAUACCCGGGUAGUCC